rnacentral:lncRNA from 1 species
CAAUCUUCUGACAGGCCCCGCAUCUGUAACUAAUGUGUCACUCGCUCAGCUAAUGCAGUUCACUUGUGUUUAUUUUUGCACAAAAGCAAUUUAUCCAGCUACUCUGAAAAAAUGGCCCUGUCAGGAGCCUUCUUUGGAGCAAAGUGUCUUUCCUCAAAAGAAACUCCAAAUGGCUCGCAGUGCACGGCAGGCUUCUGGCGUGUGCGCCUGAACAGGGAUAUGCAAACACAGGCCCAGGUUAAGCGACUUGCCCCAAGUCCCGUGGCUGCCUGCUGCCUCUCCCUCUCCGGGUGCCCAUGGAAGCGGGAGUGUACACCCCUCAUCUGGCCACAUGGCCUAUGGCGUUCCAGAUUCUAGAUGCUUUCUGGGCUGAUGAGGGAACCCGAGCUCUUUCCUUCACGAGUACCACUGCCCUGGAUGGCCAGGCACAGACUGCUCAAGCCCCUGCAAAAAUCAUCAUGUGGCUGGUGGCAGAGUCUUCUUCGAUCUGCUCUGGGCUGUGCAUUACUUCAU